rnacentral:rRNA from 1 species
GACAGAGGGUGCAAACGUUGUUCGGGAUUACUGGGCGUAAAGCGUGUGUAGGCGGUCCAUUAAGUCGGGUGUGAAAGCCCUGGGCUCAACCCAGGAAGUGCACUCGAAACUGGCGGGCUAGAGUAUCGGAGAGGUUGGUGGAAUUCUCGGUGUAGAGGUGAAAUUCGUAGAUAUCGAGAGGAACACCGGUGGCGAAGGCGGCCAACUGGACGAAUACUGACGCUGAGACACGAAAGCGUGGGGAGCAAACAGG